rnacentral:rRNA from 1 species
CGGCGGACGGGUGAGUAACACGUGGAUAACCUACCUAUAAGACUGGGAUAACUUCGGGAAACCGGAGCUAAUACCGGAUAAUAUUUUGAACCGCAUGGUUCAAAAGUAAACGACGGUCUUGCUGUCACUUAUAGAUGGAUCCGCGCUGCAUUAGCUAGUUGGUAAGGUAACGGCUUACCAAGGCAACGAUGCAUAGCCGACCUGAGAGGGUGAUCGGCCACACUGGAACUGAGACACGGUCCAG